rnacentral:sRNA from 1 species
UUGAGUUCUCCAGUCUCCUGUUGUGUCCAUGGUGUUGGUUCUCUUCUCUGUAU